rnacentral:rRNA from 1 species
UACGUAGGGUGCGAGCGUUAAUCGGAAUUACUGGGCGUAAAGCGUGCGCAGGCGGUUCGUUGUGUCGGUGGUGAAAGCCCCGGGCUUAACCUGGGAACUGCGUCCGAUACUGGAUGGCUUGAAUUCGGGAGAGGGAUGCAGAAUUCCAGGUGUAGCGGUGAAAUGCGUAGAUAUCUGGAGGAAUACCGGUGGCGAAGGCGGCAUCCUGGACCGACAUUGACGCUGAGGAGCGAAAGCUAGGGGAGCAAACGGG